UCGCGAAAACUUCACAAUGGGGGCAACCCCGAUGAGGGAAUUCCUAGUGCUAGCACAUUUGUGUUAGCUUUUCUUUAGCUUGGAAAACUAGAGGAAUAAGGGCUGGGUAAGACGGGUGCCAGCCGCCGCGGUAAUACCUGCAGCCCAAGUGGUGGUCGAUUUUAUUGAGUCUAAAACGUUCGUAGCCGGUUCGGUAAAUCUUUGGGUAAAUCGGGGGGCUUAACCUUCCGACUUCCGAGGAGACUGCCGAACUUGGGACCGGGAGAGGCUAGAGGUACUUCUGGGGUAGGGGUAAAAUCCUGUAAUCCUAGAAGGACCACCGGUGGCGAAGGCGUCUAGCUAGAACGGAUCCGACGGUGAGGGACGAAGCCCUGGGUCGCAAACGGGAUUAGAUACCCCGGUAGUCCAGGGUGUAAACGCUGCAGACUUGGUGUUGGAGGCCCUUUGGGGGCAUUCAGUGCCGGAGAGAAGUUGUUAAGUCUGCUACUUGGGGAGUACGUCCGCAAGGAUGAAACUUAAAGGAAUUGGCGGGGGAGCACCGCAACGGGAGGAGCGUGCGGUUUAAUUGGAUUCAACACCGUAAAACUCACCAGGGGAAGACUGUUACAUGAAAGGCCGGGCUAAAGACUCUGCCAGAUUUUCA
rnacentral:rRNA from 1 species